UUAAGCGACUAAGCGUACACGGUGGAUGCCCUGGCAGUCAGAGGCGAUGAAGGGCGUGCUAAUCUGCGAUAAGCGCCGGUAAGGUGAUAUGAACCGUUAUAACCGGCGAUACCCGAAUGGGGAAACCCAGUGUGAUUCGUCACACUAUCAUUAACUGAAUCCAUAGGUUAAUGAGGCGAACCGGGGGAACUGAAACAUCUAAGUACCCCGAGGAAAAGAAAUCAACCGAGAUUCCCCCAGUAGCGGCGAGCGAACGGGGAGGAGCCCAGAGCCUGAAUCAGCAUGUGUGUUAGUGGAAGCGUCUGGAAAGGUGCGCGAUACAGGGUGACAGCCCCGUACACAAAAGCGCAUGUGCUGUGAGCUCGAUGAGUAGGGCGGGACACGUGGUAUCCUGUCUGAAUAUGGGGGGACCAUCCUCCAAGGCUAAAUACUCCUGACUGACCGAUAGUGAACCAGUACCGUGAGGGAAAGGCGAAAAGAACCCCGGCGAGGGGAGUGAAAAAGAACCUGAAACCGUGUACGUACAAGCAGUGGGAGCCCCACCACUAAGCCAGUGGUGAACUCCACAUCCGCAUCCUUUGCUGAGGAUACGGUUAACGGAGCGAAAGCGACGUUCAACCGCAAAACAAGCAGAGGGGGCUUAGUGGUGGGGUGACUGCGUACCUUUUGUAUAAUGGGUCAGCGACUUAUAUUCUGUAGCAAGGUUAACCGAAUAGGGGAGCCGGAGGGAAACCGAGUCUUAAUUGGGCGUUAAGUUGCAGGGUAUAGACCCGAAACCCGGUGAUCUAGCCAUGGGCAGGUUGAAGGUUGGGUAACACUAACUGGAGGACCGAACCGACUAAUGUUGAAAAAUUAGCGGAUGACCUGUGGCUGGGGGUGAAAGGCCAAUCAAACCGGGAGAUAGCUGGUUCUCCCCGAAAGCUAUUUAGGUAGCGCCUCGUGAAUUCAUCUCCGGGGGUAGAGCACUGUUUUGGCUAGGGGGCCAUCCCGGCUUACCAACCCGAUGCAAACUGCGAAUACCGGAGAAUGUUAUCACGGGAGACACACGGCGGGUGCUAACGUCCGUCGUGAAGAGGGAAACAACCCAGACCGCCAGCUAAGGUCCCAAAGUCAUGGUUAAGUGGGAAACGAUGUGGGAAGGCCCAGACAGCCAGGAUGUUGGCUUAGAAGCAGCCAUCAUUUAAAGAAAGCGUAAUAGCUCACUGGUCGAGUCGGCCUGCGCGGAAGAUGUAACGGGGCUAAACCAUGCACCGAAGCUGCGGCAGCGAACGUAUCACUUAAAGCGAUUCAGCGGGUUACGAUUGACGGAGCGAAGCGACGUCAAAGCGUAUACAAAGUCGAGUCGGUUUAAGGAUACGUUCGUUGGGUAGGGGAGCGUUCUGUAAGCCCGUGAAGGUGGCCUGUGAGGGUUGCUGGAGGUAUCAGAAGUGCGAAUGCUGACAUAAGUAACGAUAAAGCGGGUGAAAAGCCCGCUCGCCGGAAGACCAAGGGUUCCUGUCCAACGUUAAUCGGGGCAGGGUGAGUCGACCCCUAAGGCGAGGCCGAAAGGCGUAGUCGAUGGGAAACGGGUUAAUAUUCCCGUACUUGGUGUUACUGCGAAGGGGGGACGGAGAAGGCUAUGUUGGCCGGGCGACGGUUGUCCCGGUUUAAGCGUGUAGGUGUGUGUUCCAGGUAAAUCCGGUUCACUUUAACACUGAGGCGUGAUGACGAGGCACUACGGUGCUGAAGCAACAAAUGCCCUGCUUCCAGGAAAAGCCUCUAAGCAUCAGGUAACAUCAAAUCGUACCCCAAACCGACACAGGUGGUCAGGUAGAGAAUACCAAGGCGCUUGAGAGAACUCGGGUGAAGGAACUAGGCAAAAUGGUGCCGUAACUUCGGGAGAAGGCACGCUGACACGUAGGUGAAGUGAUUUACUCACGGAGCUGAAGUCAGUCGAAGAUACCAGCUGGCUGCAACUGUUUAUUAAAAACACAGCACUGUGCAAACACGAAAGUGGACGUAUACGGUGUGACGCCUGCCCGGUGCCGGAAGGUUAAUUGAUGGGGUCAGCGCAAGCGAAGCUCCUGAUCGAAGCCCCGGUAAACGGCGGCCGUAACUAUAACGGUCCUAAGGUAGCGAAAUUCCUUGUCGGGUAAGUUCCGACCUGCACGAAUGGCGUAAUGAUGGCCAGGCUGUCUCCACCCGAGACUCAGUGAAAUUGAACUCGCUGUGAAGAUGCUGUGUACCCGCGGCAAGACGGAAAGACCCCGUGAACCUUUACUAUAGCUUGACACUGAACAUUGAGCCUUGAUGUGUAGGAUAGGUGGGAGGCUUUGAAGUGUGGACGCCAGUCUGCAUGGAGCCGACCUUGAAAUACCACCCUUUAAUGUUUGAUGUUCUAACGUGGACCCGUAAUCCGGGUUGCGGACAGUGUCUGGUGGGUAGUUUGACUGGGGCGGUCUCCUCCUAAAGAGUAACGGAGGAGCACGAAGGUUGGCUAAACCUGGUCGGACAUCAGGGGGGUAGUGCAAUGGCAUAAGCCAUGUUGACUUCGAGCGUGACGGUGCGGGCAGGUGCGAAAGCAGGUCAUAGUGAUCCGGUGG
rnacentral:rRNA from 1 species